UCAUCCAUUGAUAUUCGUUUUUAACGAAUCUUAUUCUGAACGUUAAUUGCGAACCAAACUGACUUGUCGUCGCGUAUCACCGCUGUAUUGUGUCACGUAACGUUACCGGUAUACGCAUACCGCGAGGGCAUUGUACAAGAAUUACCUGAGUUUCCGACGAGAUUUGCCGGUCUCGUUGCUGCUCGCCAUACACAUUCUUUUUAACGACUGCGAGAAAUUACUCAACGUCGUACCAAGUACGAAUUACCUGUGGCCGCAUCUAACCGAACGCAUCAAUUAUCGGAUUACAAGUAUCACCUACCGCCCGCUUCAAAAAAAAUCUUAAUUCGACUCAAUAAUAAAAUUCAAAUUAUUACAACCAAGAGAGUCAUCGUUAUUACACGCCUUGGCGAGCGAGCUUUCCAUACAAGGUGACACCAGCGUCACAAACACAAAACAGAUUGGAAAAUUGAAAUAACAAGGACGAACAAUAAUAACAUUUCACGAAAAAUUUGAGAAAGAUACGAGCGACCGACCUAAGAAUUGCGAGGUCAGGGAGUCGUGCAAUUGUUGCGAUUAAAGACGUGUAAAAAGAGCUCCAGAAUAAAAUAGCGAAUUCGUUAGAAGCUUUUCUUGCCUUCAUCAGCGAUAUCCUCGCAACAAUACUAAAUCACAAAAUUGUGUUAUUUUACUCAACCCAAAGAUUAAGUUAUCACAAAGAGUUAAGGGGAUGCUGGAGUGAUGGCCGAACUUGAUCGAUAUUAAUAAAAUUACCUCAAGCGCCUGGACGAUUGCUUCUGCAUCUGCUUGAAUUGUCGAUAUCGUCUCGUUCUUGGUCAUAUUC